GACGAACGCUGGCGGCGUGCUUAACACAUGCAAGUCGAACGGAAAGGCCCUGCUUUUGUGGGGUGCUCGCGUGGCGAACGGGUGAGUAACACGUGCGUACCCUGCCCUUGACUUUGGGAUAUCUUCAGGAAACUGGGGCUACUACCGGCUAGGACCUCCUGCUGCAUGGUGGGGGUUGGCAAGUUUCGGCGGUUGGUGAUGGACUCGCGGCUUAUCAGCUUGUUGGUGGGGUAGUGGCUUACCAAGGCUGUGACGGGUAGCCGGCCUGAGAGGGUGACCGGCCACGUUGGGGCUGGGAGACGGCCCAGACUCCUACGGGAGGCAGCAGUUGGGAGUAUUGCACAAUGGGCGGAAGCCUGAUGCAGCAACGCCGCGUGCGGGAUGACGGCCUUCGGGUUGUAAACCGCUUGCGCCUGUGACGAAGCGUGAGUGACGGUAAUGGGUAAAGAAGCACCGGCUAACUACGUG
rnacentral:rRNA from 1 species